rfam:Ovis aries breed Texel chromosome 6, whole genome shotgun sequence.
CUGUCUCUUGCUUCAACAGUGCUUGGAGGGAACAG